GUUUGUUUUUCCUGGAGUAGACAGGUAAUUCUGGGUACCUCUACCUUCUUUUGUACUGACUCCGGACCUGGCAAUAUUACUCCAGAAGCAGUGCGUUCGGACCCUGAAAUAUGUCAAAUGGGAGAGAUUUCUGCCUGAAAGACACAACCGGCUUCAUUUACCAUAUUCAAUGUUCUUCCUGCCAUGCUGCUCUUGAAGAUGAUUCAUUACCAAUUGCUACCUAACUCCAAAGAAAGAAAUAGAUUUUUCCAUUAUUUAUGUUUUUG
rnacentral:lncRNA from 1 species